rnacentral:rRNA from 1 species
CAAGCGUUGUUCGGAUUCAUUGGGCGUAAAGGGUGCGUAGGCGGCGCGGUACGUCGGGGGUGAAAUCUCGGGGCUUAACUCCGAAACUGCAUUCGAUACUGCCGUGCUUGAGGACUGGAGAGGAGACUGGAAUUUACGGUGUAGCGGUGAAAUGCGUAGAUAUCGUAAGGAAGACCAGUGGCGAAGGCGGGUCUCUGGACAGUUCCUGACGCUGAGGCACGAAGGUCAGGGGAGCAAACGGG